UUCGUAGGCGGUCCUUUAAGUCAGAAGUGAAAGGCAGUGGCUCAACCAUUGUAAGCUUUUGAAACUGGGGGACUUGAGUGUUGGAGAGGAAAGCGGAAUUCCUAGUGUAGCGGCGAAAUGCGUAGAUAUUAGGAGGAACACCAGUGGCGAAGGCGGCUUUCUGGACAAAUACUGACGCUGAGGAACGAAAGCGUGGGGAGCGAACAGGAUUAGAUACCCUGGUAGUCC
rnacentral:rRNA from 1 species